AGUGAACGCUGGCGGUAGGCCUAACACAUGCAAGUCGAACGGCAGCACAGGAGAGCUUGCUCUCUGGGUGGCGAGUGGCGGACGGGUGAGGAAUACAUCGGAAUCUACCUUUUCGUGGGGGAUAACGUAGGGAAACUUACGCUAAUACCGCAUACGACCUACGGGUGAAAGUGGGGGACCGCAAGGCCUCACGCGAUUAGAUGAGCCGAUGUCCGAUUAGCUAGUUGGCGGGGUAAUGGCCCACCAAGGCGACGAUCGGUAGCUGGUCAGAGAGGAUGAUCAGCCACACUGGAACUGAGACACGGUCCAGACUCCUACGGGAGGCAGCAGUGGGGAAUAUUGGACAAUGGGCGCAAGCCUGAUCCAGCCAUACCGCGUGGGUGAAGAAGGCCUUCGGGUUGUAAAGCCCUUUUGUUGGGAAAGAAAUCCUGUCGAUUAAUACUCGGUGGGGAUGACGGUACCCAAAGAAUAAGCACCGGCUAACUUCGUGCCAGCAGCCGCGGUAAAAC
rnacentral:rRNA from 1 species